GGGACCGUGGGUUAGCCUGGUAUACUUACAGCCUUGGGUGCUGUCGACCCCGGUUCGAAUCCGGGCGGUCCCA
rnacentral:tRNA from 1 species